rnacentral:rRNA from 1 species
CAGUCGCCGCGGUAAUACGUAGGGUGCGAGCGUUAAUCGGAAUUACUGGGCGUAAAGCGUGCGCAGGCGGUUAUAUAAGACAGAUGUGAAAUCCCCGGGCUCAACCUGGGACCUGCAUUUGUGACUGUAUAGCUAGAGUACGGUAGAGGGGGAUGGAAUUCCGCGUGUAGCAGUGAAAUGCGUAGAUAUGCGGAGGAACACCGAUGGCGAAGGCAAUCCCCUGGACCUGUACUGACGCUCAUGCACGAAAGCGUGGGGAGCAAGCAGGAUUAGAUACCCCAGUAGUCCCUGUCUCUUAUAA